rnacentral:rRNA from 1 species
AACGAACGCUGGCGGCAGGCCUAACACAUGCAAGUCGAGCGGACAUCUUCGGAUGUUAGCGGCGGACGGGUGCGUAACGCGUGGGAACGUGCCCUUUGCUUCGGAAUAGCCUCGGGAAACUGGGAGUAAUACCGGAUGUACCCUUUGGGGGAAAGAUUUAUCGGCAAAGGAUCGGCCCGCGUUGGAUUAGGUAGUUGGUGGGGUAAUGGCCUACCAAGCCGACGAUCCAUAGCUGGUUUGAGAGGAUGAUCAGCCACACUGGGACUGAGACACGGCCCAGACUCCUACGGGAGGCAGCAGUGGGGAAUCUUAGACAAUGGGGGAAACCCUGAUCUAGCCAUGCCGCGUGAGCGAUGAAGGCCUUAGGGUUGUAAAGCUCUUUCACCGGGGAAGAUAAUGACGGUACCCGGAGAAGAAGCCCCGGCUAACUCCGUG